rnacentral:rRNA from 1 species
AUUGAACGCUGGCGGCAUGCCUUACACAUGCAAGUCGAACGGCAGCAUGGAGAGCUUGCUCUCUGAUGGCGAGUGGCGAACGGGUGAGUAAUGCAUCGGAACGUACCGUGUAAUGGGGGAUAACGUAGCGAAAGUUACGCUAAUACCGCAUACGACCUGAGGGUGAAAGCAGGGGAUCGCAAGACCUUGCGUUAUACGAGCGGCCGAUGUCAGAUUAGCUAGUUGGUGAGGUAAAGGCCCAACAAGGCGACGAUCUGUAGCGGGUCUGAGAGGAUGAUCCGCCACACUGGAACUGAGACACGGUCCAGACUCCUACGGGAGGCAGCAGUGGGGAAUUUUGGACAAUGGGGGCAACCCUGAUCCAGCCAUGCCGCGUGAGUGAAGAAGGCCUUCGGGUUGUAAAGCUCUUUCGGCCGGGAAGAAAUCGCACGGGCUAAUACCCUGUGUGGAUGACGGUACCGGAAUAAGAAGCACCGGCUAACUACGUGCCAGCAGCCGCGGUAA